CUUGAUGGUUUGGAGAGUGGAAAGAUACCAAAGAUAGAACAAAGACAACCAAUGAGAGCCUUUAAAACACAGAGGCCAGUCAUCUUUGGCUGCUGAAUGUGAUGAAAUAUGGAACCUUAGUCUGCUAUUAUAACAGCCUGAAAACAAAGGAAUUUAAGAAGUAACAGAGUGGGAGGAAUACCAUCCUGCAGAGAUCCUGGAUAUGGAAUGAGGAAUGUAUCCCAGGAGAACUGAAGUCAGUGCAGGCCGGACCAUCGCUUCCUGCUGCUUCCAUUGGCUGGGAAUGGAGAACCACAACCAAUGGGAAUGCUCGAUCAUCUAGGGGAC